UACAGAGGUCCCGAGCGUUGUUCGGAUUCAUUGGGCGUAAAGGGUGCGUAGGCGGUCUGCUAAGUUUGAUGUGAAAUCCCGGGGCUCAACCCUGGAAUGGCAUUGAAUACUGGCGGACUAGAGUACCGGAGAGGAAACUGGAAUUUACGGUGUAGCAGUGAAAUGCGUAGAGAUCGUAAGGAAGACCAGUGGCGAAGGCGGGUCUCUGGACAGUUCCUGACACUGAGGCACGAAGGCCAGGGGAGCAAACGGG
rnacentral:rRNA from 1 species